GACGAACCGAGCGAACGUUGUUCGGAAUCACUGGGCUUAAAGGGCUCGUAGGCGGCCAACUAAGUCGGAUGUGAAAUCCCCAGGCUCAACCUGGGAACUGCAUCCGAUACUGGAUGGCUUGAAUUCGGGAGAGGGAUGCAGAAUUCCAGGUGUAGCGGUGAAAUGCGUAGAUAUCUGGAGGAAUACCGGUGGCGAAGGCGGCAUCCUGGACCGACAUUGACGCUGAGGAGCGAAAGCCAGGGGAGCAAACGGG
rnacentral:rRNA from 1 species